UCGUGGGGUGUUGCUGCUGGAGCCAAUCCCAGCCUUGUCUCAGGGCGAGGGCAGGGUACUCCCUGGAUAAAUCGCCAGCUCAUCGCAGGGCCCUCACUGAUGAGCAAUCACUAAUGGCAUCAUGUUACCACAUCUGAACUGCAUCAUGUUUUCAUCCUGACAUGAAGCUGCUGAUUGUCUCCCAGAAGAGGCUGGGUGGACUUCUCCUGCACUGAUCAUCCCUGAGGUAGACUUGUCUGCGGGAACAUGUCUUUGUCCUCGCUUCUAUCAAGUUGUCAGUUUCUGUUCAAGGCACCUAUAAACCUCCCCAGGGGCACUACAGCGCUCAGGCGAGGCAGCGUGGGCCUGAAGUUGUCUCUCCUGCUACCUUCAGGGUCACCUUUGAUGUUGGCUUAAGAAUGUCUCUCUCUGCCACUGUACAAUAUAUCUCCUAAACCAGCACACCUGCAGUUUGUGAGAAAUGUAACUGUGAGAUAAUAUGGACAAAAGUUUGUGGACACUCAAAAUUGAAACCUCAAUGAGACUGG